GGUGGCUCAGUGGUAGAGCAUUUGCCUUGCAUGCAUGAAGCCCUGGGUUCGAUUCCUCAGCACCA
rfam:Dipodomys ordii contig_23465, whole genome shotgun sequence.